GUGGGGAAUAUUGGACAAUGGGCGAAAGCCUGAUCCAGCAAUGCCGCGUGGGUGAAGAAGGUCUUCGGAUUGUAAAGCCCUUUCGACGGGGACGAUGAUGACGGUACCCGUAGAAGAAGCCCCGGCUAACUUCGUGCCAGCAGCCGCGGUAAUACGAAGGGGGCUAGCGUUGCUCGGAAUGACUGGGCGUAAAGGGCGCGUAGGCGGUUUGCACAGUUGGAUGUGAAAUUCCUGGGCUCAACCUGGGGGCUGCAUUCAAUACGUGCGGGCUUGAGUUCGGAAGAGGGUCGUGGAAUUCCCAGUGUAGAGGUGAAAUUCGUAGAUAUUGGGAAGAACACCGGUGGCGAAGGCGGCGACCUGGUCCGAUACUGACGCUGAGGCGCGAAAGCGUGGGGAGCAAACAGGAUUAGAAACCCUAGUAGUCC
rnacentral:rRNA from 1 species